UACGUAGGUGACAAGCGUUGUCCGGAUUUACUGGGCGUAAAGAGCGCGCAGGCGGUCGUUCAAGUCGAGUGUGAAAGCCCCCGGCUCAACUGGGGAGGGUCAUUCGAUACUGAUCGACUCGAAGGCAGGAGAGGGUAGUGAAAUUCCCGGUGUAGUGGUGAAAUGCGUAGAUAUCGGGAGGAACACCAGUGGCGAAGGCGACUACCUGGCCUGUUCUUGACGCUGAGGCGCGAAAGCUAGGGGAGCAAACGGG
rnacentral:rRNA from 1 species